rnacentral:lncRNA from 1 species
AAAAACAACUAUUGUUGCUAUAACUACAUCAAAAAACGAAGCAUUACGAAUUGCUGAUGACAUUGAGAUGACAUGUAAAAUAUGUCAUAAAAAAAGAAAAGCAAUUAAGUUUUCAAUUGAAGGUUUUUUAAGGAAAGUUAGGUGUGACAUAUGUAGAGUUAAGCCAAGAAGUAAUAUUAAUAAAAAUACUAACUUAAAAAAAAAUAAUAACACUAAUACUGCAAUGGAAAAUGUUACUACUACUUCUACAGCCAUUACUACUACUACUACUACUACUACUACCAAUAAUAAUAAUAAUAAUAAUAAUGGUUUUUAUAACAAUAGUGGAAGUUAUAAUACAUUAAAAAAUGAGAAUUAUACUCAUGACAACAGUAAUAAUACUAACAAAGAUAUACAUUCCAGUCGUAAACUGUUUACAAAGUGUCAAGCUAAUCUUUCUAAUUGUCAUUCUAUUAGUAAUAUUAGUGAAAAAAAUUGUUCUAGUUGUAGUAAUAUAUUACCUGGAGGAGAAGGUGAUAAUAUAUAUAGUAGUAGUAGUAGUAGUAGUAGCAGUAGUAGUAGUAGUAGUAGUUGCAGCAGUAGUAGUAGCAAUGGUAGUGAUAAUGGGAAAGCACUUUGUUUACAUGAUUAUAAUAUGUUUUAUUUAAAUGGUAAUGAUGUAUCAUCACUAAAAGAAGCAAAUAUGAACAAGCACGAUUUACUUUUGCAUAACUCAAAAUAUAACACGUCGAAUUUAUUAUCAAAGAAUGUAUCAUAUUCAUUAAACAAUAGUGAAGUAAGUUCUAACAGUGCGACUACCGCUACGUCUACUACGAUUACUAAUAUUACUACAAAUAAUAACAAUAAUAAUACGAAUAACUCACUGCUUCAUAUUAACACACAUAAUCCAAUAGACAUGAAAUUUGGAGAUGAAAUAAUAGAAAUGAUAAUAGAACUUAUAAAAUAUAUAUCUUGGAUGCAAAAGGUGUUAAUCAAAGCAUCUAAAGGAAAUUAUGUAAUUGAUCAUUCAGAAGUUAAUAUAGAAAAAAUAUCUAAUAUUGUUAAUUCUGCUCAAUUAUUAUGUAAUAAAUUGCUAAGACAAAAAUUUAUUUUGCAGCAAAUUAAUAAUUAUAAUUUUCAUUUGUCAUCAUUGAUACCUGUUUAUAAUAAUACUACUAAUAACAAUUUUACUGUUAAAUGUGCUAAUUUAUAUGAUACGAAGGUUUAUAAUGUUAGUAAACAAACUAAUGAUAGCGAUAUGUGUAACAUUAACUAUAAUUAUAUAUUUAAUAAUUUACCUAAUCAUAAUAAUAAAAAUCAUACGUGUGGUGGUAAUAGCACUAAUAGUAGUAGUAGUAGUAGUAGUAACAGUAACAGUAACAGUAACAGUAACAGUAACAGUAACAGUAACAGUAACAGUAACAGUAACAGUAACAGUAACAGUAACAGUAACAGUAACAGUAACAGUAACAGUAACAGUAACAGUAACAGUAAUAAUAACAAUAACAAUAAUAAUAGCAAUAACAAUAAUAAUAGUAAUAACAAUAAUUAUAGUAAUAAUGAUAAUGAUAAUAAUGACAUUUGUAGUAUCGUGUCAUCUCCUACUACUGAUAAAAAUACACCAUCAUGUGAAUUUCAUUCUAUGCUUUAUACAUCUCCCACAUCUCAUACAUCAAUAUCACCACAAUCCUCAUCAACAUCUGGAAAUGACAAUAGGAUACGUAAUUAUACAAAAAAUAAUAAUACAUAUGUAUAUAAUAAUCAAUGCAAUAAGAACGAUUUUUUAGAAAAUAACCAUACAAGUAAUAAUAAAAAUAAUAAUAAUGAAACACAACAUUUUAUUUUAUCAAGUUUAGAAAAACAAUAUAAUUCAAAUUUUAAUUUAUGUUUUCAUAAUAUGGAUAAUUCAAUUUCAAAUAUUUAUAGAAAUAUGUCGAGAAAUUACCAUGUACCAGAAUACUGUUCUAAACUUUGAUAAAUAGUUUGGAAAAAAAAAAAGAAAAAAAAAAGAAAAAAAAAAAGAAAAUGCUGAGCUAGGAGUUAUAACCAUUGCGCUGGUGCAUUAACUAACGUUCGAAUUAGCUAACACAUUAAUCCACUAACAAAUUUAGAAAAAUCAAAUCCAUAGAACCACUUAUGAUUAUACUUCAAAGAUUUAUUAAAAUUAUAAUCAUAGUAAACAAAAAUGGAAAGAAUAAAAAAAAAAAAAAAAAAAAAAAGACA